CAGCCGCCACGGGAAUACGAAGGGGGCUAGCGUUGUUCGGAACUACUGGGCGUAAAGCGCACGUAGGCGGAUUUUUAAGUCAGGGGUGAAAUCCCGAGGCUCAACCUCGGAACUGCCUUUGAUACUGGAGAUCUUGAGUUCGGAAGAGGUUGGUGGAACAGCUAGUGUAGAGGUGAAAUUCGUAGAUAUUAGCUAGAACACCAGUGGCGAAGGCGGCCAACUGGUCCGAUACUGACGCUGAGGUGCGAAAGCGUGGGGAGCAAACAGGAUUAGAUACCCCCGUAGUCCCUGUCUCUUAUAC
rnacentral:rRNA from 1 species